ACAUCAGCUCUUUUCAGAGCUACCACAUAUUUAACACAAUGGAAAA
rfam:Dufourea novaeangliae contig1138, whole genome shotgun sequence.